GAUGAACGCUGGCGGCGUGCUUAACACAUGCAAGUCGAACGAUGAAGCCCAGCUUGCUGGGUGGAUUAGUGGCGAACGGGUGAGUAACACGUGAGUAACCUGCCCUUAACUCUGGGAUAAGCCUGGGAAACUGGGUCUAAUACCGGAUAGGAGCGUCCACCGCAUGGUGGGUGUUGGAAAGAUUUAUCGGUUUUGGAUGGACUCGCGGCCUAUCAGCUUGUUGGUGAGGUAAUGGCUCACCAAGGCGACGACGGGUAGCCGGCCUGAGAGGGUGACCGGCCACACUGGGACUGAGACACGGCCCAGACUCUUACGGGAGGCAGCAGUGGGGAAUAUUGCACAAUGGGCGAAAGCCUGAUGCAGCGACGCCGCGUGAGGGAUGACGGCCUUCGGGUUGUAAACCUCUUUCAGUAGGGAAGAAGCGAAAGUGACGGUACCUGCAGAAGAAGCACCGGCUAACUACGUG
rnacentral:rRNA from 1 species